UUGUUCCAGUUUCUUUAGGUAUCCUUUGGGGGUGGAGAGGCUCUCUCUUUAGCCAGCUGAAGACAAAAUGGAGGGGUCUCCUGGGGAUUAAAUAGACUUUCUCUUGUGGAUAGAGACCCCCUCCUCUUUCCUAUACAUAAUCCAGCUCCAAGAUGGAGUUUUGGAAUCAUAUGGGCAAGUCACAAUUCCAUGCAUGACUCAGUUUUUACAGGUAGCAGCCAUUGCCCAUAUGCUAUCUUGAAUGUCUCCAGGAAGACUUCUUAUGUGGAUUGGAGUCUUCCAAGAUCCAUUGUCAGUUAAGUGUUUUUUGAUUGGGCACUUAAUUUGCACAUUCCUUUCUUAAGAAGCUGACCAAAUGCUUUACUAAGGCUAUUUAAACUCAAACAAGUACACAGCCAAUAUUAAUAACUUUGAAUCCAAAAACGAUACAUGCAUACAAAUAGGAUGAAUGUAUUCAGUAGAUCAUAACCUUUACAGAGAUAUGUUACAUAGCAUAUGUAGCAUAAAACAUAUUCCAGUUAUGUCAUAUAUACAUUCAUAAGUAUAUUCCCAUAAAGCAUUAUGGGGUGCAACUUCACAGUGUUCUGUUCCAUCUAGUGGUUCCGAGACCACUUAGCUAGAGAAAGAAAAUGAGUGUGCUACAGCCUUACCUAACAUCCAGCUGGUUUUUAGCUCAUGUGGCAAAGGCUCAUGCACUAAGCUCCAGAGGUCCCACAUUCGAUCCCGCCGAGUGGGGUCUGUUGACAUUACAUUUGCUUAUUGAUAUUGUCCACAUUAUCCAUCUUUUCAACCUUGUGGUUCUUAAUCCCUUUAAAAGCCAAUAUUGUGGUAUAUAAGCAUAUGGUGCAAGGAAUCCAGUGAUGAAAGAGUUAGGAGAGAUGCCAGAUUUUCUUCUCCUCCCCCCACAGAGGAACUCAGGUUUCAAACUCUGCUGUGAUGCCAUGUUCUAUGCCCUAUGAAGACCUUGCCAGAAGAGGGAAGUCAAGAACUAGCAUUUGUAACACAAAAAAAAAAUAGAAAAUAUAUUUUAAAAACUAUAAGGCCAUAUUUAUACAUGAUAAAAGAGGAUUCUUUAAAUUUAGCAUGGGGGUGUUUAAUGGCAAAAUUUCUUGCCAGAAAUAUGAGGAUUGUAAAUACAGCUGUCAGACUGGAACAGUUUCCCACCCAGAAACAGCAAAUGGCAACUGUAGGUAGGGCAAACUGGAUAGCUCACGGAGUUGUUAAUGGAACAUAAUGUCUUUCAUUUCUAGAUACCUUAUUCUAGUCAGACUCAGACAUGUAGUGACUGAAAAAUAUGAGGUUUCAGAAUAGCAGCCGUGUUAGUCUGUAUUCACAAAAAGAAAAGGAGUACUUGUGGCACCUUAGAGACUAACAAAUUUAUUUGAGCAUAAGCUUUCGUGAGCUACAGCUCACUUCAUCUGAUGCAUCCCAUGAAGUGAGCUGUAGCUCACGAAAGCUUAUGCUCAAAUAAAUUUGUUAGUCUCUAAGGUGCCACAAGUACUCCUUUUCUUUUUGAAAAAUAUUACCAUUUCAUGGUUUUAGGUGGUCUAAGUGAAUCAAGGUCUCCUCCUUGUUGUCAGGCAGUGAGACCAAGAACUGAAUGAGCCAGGGAAACUGCACUCACCUCUCUAACCUCUACAGGGGGUUCCAUCCAGGUCAAAGGAAAGGCAUAGUGGCAGCAGAGUGUGUAGUGGGGAGUGGGGGCUGAGUUGAGGAAAGAUGUCCUGCCAAUGUAUCUAUUCUGUAGAUAGAGAACUCCAGACUCCUCUGUCUCAUACAUUUCAACAGAACAGAAUUCACACAAUCAAACUAAGACAAACUAAAGUAAAAUUAGGUUUCAGAGUAGCAGCCAUGUUAGUCUGUAUUCGCAAAAAGAAAAGGAGUACUUGUGGCACCUUAGAGACUAACAAAUUUAAACCUGUCAUUAUGCAAGGCACUGAAUUUAGCUGUAUAGAGUGGAAAAAUUUGUUAGUCUCUAAGGUGCCACAAGUACUCCUUUUCUUUUUAAAAUAAAAUUGUUAUGUGACUAAUGAAAUGAAUAGAUAGAAUCUCAGCCUAAUCCAGGAUUAUGAUGAUUUCUGCCUUGUCUUUCUUUAAACUUCCUAGAGUUUUCAGGGGAGUGUCAGCAAAGCUGGGGAAUACUUCUGCACAAGGUAUAGCUCUCUGGCAACACCCUACACUGUGGCUAUAACAUCCUAUGCUUUAGCCCUGUUGGGCAAACUGGAUGAUGAGAAGGAGCUUGUGACAGCUUUGAAAGAUAAAGUUUUGUGGCUAAUUCAGUAACAGAAAGAUGUGGCCUUGUUGGGAGGGAAUUCAAAAGUGAGCAACAAAAAUGAUAAAGGGAGGCAGAGACAGAGACAACAAUGUGGGAUACAGCGUAAUGGUCCAGUCUUUCAAACACUUACCGUCAAGGAUAGUGCUUACUCUGCUAAGUAGUCCCAUUGAAGUCAGUAUUACUACAUUAGUAUCAUUUAUGCCUGGAAAUAUUCCAAAUGAUAGCUACAUUAAGAUGGAGUUAAAGGUUGAGAGUACAUAUCGGUACAAUACAUUACAGAAAAGUUGUAAAUAUUCCAAAAUUAAGCAGGACAGUCAGACUUAAGGUUAAACUUGAAAAAAAAGUCCAAUUGCAUUGAGGUAUGGAAAUGCACUGUUCAAGCACACAAGAAAACUUUAUCUCUGCCCUUGUAGUGAUGCCUUGAGAAAAAUUCUCUUUAAAAAUCUGUUUAAAAAACUUUAAAAAACUGGAACCACAAACACUAUAUUGUCUUAAUCAUAAUCAUGCUGUUGUUAUAUGACACCACUACAGGUAACUUUAAUUCUGAAUUUCCUGAGUAUCUGAUGCUGGUUUUGGGGCUGGUGGCCGCUUCCAGGAGCCACAUGAAGCCAGAGCAGGUAGGGAACCUUUCUUAGCCUGCCAGUGCAGACCACAGCUGCCAGGGUCCAUUUUCAACCAGGCAUUCCGGUCGAAAACUGGCAACCCUACUUGCUGGUAAACAACCAUCACACAGUAACAACUUGUCAUCAUCAGCCUGAGCUAGGAUUUUACCAAUGAUCUCCCCAUGAAUUCCUUGUGUGGACAAACCCUACAUUUUCAGUCUAAUUCCAAGGUUUCUACAUCAUAAACACUCCCCACUCAGUGAGUUGGCAAUAAUCAGCCCCCUUGUUGGAAGGUUCAGCAAAGGCCAAGAUUUGAGAGGCCCAUACAAACUGAGCUGCUUUCUUACUCCUAGACAGAGUCCUUCUAGAAGAGGCUCGAGGGGCCUGGACAGUGAGGCAAUAGUGCGUGUAUACAAGGACCUUGCCGUGCUGCUGUCUGUGUUUUAUAUGUCCUUGGGGAUACACCUUUUCUCAGUAAUAAUGUCUUUCUUUCCCACAGAAAACUGCUUCAAGCAGCACCAGAUGAAUGGUUCAAUCACCCUGGAGACACGGUUAAAGGAAGCCUGUAAACCUGAAGCGGAUUAUGGCUAAACAGAGUCAUGUCACUGGCUCCAGCUUUGUUGUUACAUAACAGAUAACAAAACUCCAAGUGGGGCAUGGUGCUGGCACAUAGGGUUUCAGCAAAAAAACUGGAGCCGGCCCUGGAAGUAUAACCUAUUACACGGAGACAUGGAGGAUUCUCUUAACACAUUGUAUAAAAUCAGGCUCAUAAAAACUGAAGAAUCGAGCAGUUAUGAGAACUACAUGAUGGAAAUUUUGGAAGUCAUUAAAGCAGGAGCUGGCAGUGACCAAUGGGAAUUAUUUGGACAGAGUCCAGGUGCCGUCAGUGUGUUAGGUGUACCUCCACUAAAUGGUGGAGGCAGUAGUUGGGCCUUCUGAGUAAAGAGUCCAGGACCUGAAGUCUUGUAGAGAUGGUGAGGCAAGGCUCCACCCUCUCCUAACCAAGCAGGACCAGCUCUGGAAAAGAGGUCUGCAUAUAUUCUGCCUCCUGCCUCAAAACACCACAGGCAGUGGAAGGUUGACGUCAGCUGAGCUCUCCCAGUCCAGGGAGAAGAAGAACUACUAUGAAAAAGGACCAGCUGGAGGAGAAGCUGGUUUAAAGCCACAGAGGGAAUGAGACAAUAAACACAGCCCAACAAAGGGAGCUGUGGGAGAAGCUUGACAGGAAAUCCCCUUGGCCCCAAGAAGGAGGCCUAGGAAAACCCCUGAAUCUGAGCUUGCCCUCCACAUGGAAAGAUCAGACCCAGGAGUCCCUCUACAAGGAAGUAGCAGUGAUCAGGCGUUGGAAGGAAAAGGAUGUUUCUCACCUAUGGCGUCCUGGAGAUGUAAUACGUCUUUCACAUAAUCAUCUUGGACCUCCUCUAUUGCCAACCUAAUCCCAGCCAGCUCCUUGGACACUGCAAACAACAGGGGACAGAAAACAACUUUUGUAAAUGUGCAUGUCAAAGGGAGAGACCCCACCCCUGUGAAACCCCCACAAUUUUAUUGCACGUCUUCUGACAUUUGAUAUGUUUCUUCAAGCUCCCACUCCUUGAUUUAUGAAGUUAGGAGAGCAUCUCAGCUUUCAUUUAAAAAAAUUAAUUUCUACCCCUCAUGGUAGCGGAGAACAGCUUAAUAACAUGACCCAAGCAUGACCCUAAAGGCUCAGAAACCAGAACACAAAUAAAUCAAGCCCAACAUUUAUUGUAUUUUUUAAAAUCUCAUGAGUUUUAAGCCAGUCUCAUGGGCUUGACUCAUGAUUUUUGAAUGCUGGGGUUGGCAGCACAAGGGAACUCUUUAUACCCAACCUCUUGAGAAAAAUAAACAGAACAUACCAUUAAGAAGUCGAUUGUUAAACAUGUUGAAUUCUUUGGACAUCUUCAACUCUAAAAGGAAGAUGAGAAAAUGGGGAGUUUCCUUUUUAAAUAACAACACAGGACCUCAUGCUGCCCCACCCACACGCUCCACCCCUGAGGAAUGCUGGAUAAGGACCAUUCAUCCAGGAGCGUGUGAAAUUUAUGGAGCAAGGGCAGUCGUUGGCAAGGACAUAAAUGGGUUUCACUUAUAGCUAUUAAUGAUUUAUAUUACAGUGCUGCCUACAGGCCCCAACUGAGAUUAGGGCCCCUUUGUGCCAGGUGCUGCACAAACCCGAACCGAGAUUGGGUACCGUUGCUCUGGGCACUGCAUAGACACAGAGCGAGAGACAGUUACAAUACAAAUAGAAAAGAAAUGUUAUCUAUUUCACAGAUAGUGAAACUGAGGCACAGAGAAAUGAAGUGACUGUUUCAAGGUCACAGCGGGAGUCAGCAGCAAAACUGGGAACUGUAGCCAGAUCUUGUGAAUUCCAGCCCACGCCUGAGCCAGAACAGCAGCCAACCUCUACUCAGCUGGAGCUCAGACUCCCUUUGGGAGCAGCAGGAUCUGAGUACUAACCCACUGUUACUGUGAUGUUCUCAGUGCCCAUGACUUGCUGCACAGUGAUACCCCUGUAGUCCAGGUGGAUGCAGGCUCAUUACAGCAUUUAGAGUCCUGGGGCAAAUUAAGAUCAGUGUUUAUUAAGAGAGAUCUAGUCAAUGACCCACGCAGGGGAACUGUGGUGGAAAAAACAGGUCAGACCCAGGACUGCAUUGAGGCAAUCCAGCAGCAACCAAUUAAAGGAGGGCAUAAGUAGUUGCUGUUUAUAGGAUCCCUGGAUUGGGACCUAGAGUAGUGGGCAGGCCUAGUGUCCCCACCAGCGCUAGCAAAGUGGACUAAGCCCCAAGAAGGGGACAAGGCUUGUUCAGCACAGCGGGACUCAAAGGGCCCAGAGAUGGAACUGAAACCUCUAGUGAGGGGCGACAGUUUGUUGAACUCUUUGCUACUUCAGAAAGUGCUCAUCCAUUUUUGACUGUGUGACUUGGCCAGAGGGCUGAGCCACUCAUGGUGACAACCUACAGGGGGUGCCAGGAGCAGGAGGAAGUCCUUCAGUACCAGAUGCAGCAGCAGGAGACACUCAAGAGGCGAGUGUCCCCCCAUUACAGGCAGCAAUUGGUAAGGUUGUAAAUGGGUUUCACUUAUUAUUUCAUUAUUAUUGCCUAGAAGCCCCAGCUGAGACUGAGGCCCCUUUGUUCCAGGUGCUGUAUAGACCCCAACUGACAUAGAGACCCCGUUGCUCUGGGUAUUGCACAGUGAUAAAAUGAGAGACACUCCCUUACCCUGAGCUGAAGAGCUUACAAUACAAUAAGACAAGAAAUGUUACCCAUUUCACAGAUAGUGAAACUGAGGCACAGAGAAAUUAAGUGACUCUUUCAAGGUCACACAGGACGUCAGCAGCAAAACUGGGAACUGAAGCCAGAUCUCCUGAGGUCCAGCCCAUGCCUAAGCCAUAACGCCAGCCAACAUCUAUUCAACUCGGGGCUCAGAGCCUGUUUGGAGCAGCAGGGUCUGAGUACUAACCCACUGUUACUGUGAUGUUCUCAAUGCCUGUGAUGUGCUGCACAGUGACACCCCUGCAGUCCAGGUGCGUGCAGGCUCGUUACAGUGUUUAGAAUCCCAGAGAAAAAUUAGGAAAUUAACAACAGCGUUUAUUCAGAGAGAUCCAGUCAAUGACCAGCGAAGGGGGACUGUGUUGGAAAGAACAUUUCAGACCCAGGACAGCACUGAGGGAAUCCAGGGGCAAUAGGCACACCCAGUAUGGUAGUUCCCAUUGGCCCUCCCUCUGUAGAAUGGUUCCAACCCUAGGUAGGUUCGCAGGGGCCAUCUGCUGGAUGAUUGGAGACCCAUCAUCACACUUCUCCCCCGUCCAGAUUACUACUUCCUUACUUCAUUUGAGCUAGGGUUUGUCCUGGAGAACACUGGAGCCCCAGGUACAUGCCUACCCCUGGGAAAGACCAUUCCAUCUACGCCAAGACUUCCCCAGCAGGAUGACACUUUCAGCCAAUGAGACACUGGUGGAAAAGUGACCUCAUCAGAACAAAAAAAGAAAAGGAGUACUUGUGGCACCUUAGUGCACCUCUUCUUUUUGCGAAUACAGACUAACACAGCUGCUACUCUGAAACUCAUCAGAACAAAAUUUCAUUGGACAAUCAGUGAUCCUAGGAGCAGGACAAUGUUGUCCAACAACUUCUAAGAGCAGCUCCCACCUCCUGUGGUUGUCCCUCUCCCCACAAUGAUCUACAGACCUAUCUGAGCUCUGGUCAGAUCCCCAGCUGAUGUUUGUCUACUCAGCUCCACUGAAGUCCCAGGAGCUACAUCAACUUCCACCAGCGGUGCAAAUGACCCCGUGGGCCUAACUCUCCCCCCCCUUGAGGCAUAAGGACCAAGAAAGAUCUGCCAAGUUCGACAAGGAAUAGAAACAUUUCCUUUAUCCUCUCACCUAGAUA